rnacentral:rRNA from 1 species
AGCGAACGCUGGCGGCAGGCUUAACACAUGCAAGUCGAGCGGGCGUAGCAAUACGUCAGCGGCAGACGGGUGAGUAACGCGUGGGAACGUACCUUUUGGUUCGGAACAACACAGGGAAACUUGUGCUAAUACCGGAUAAGCCCUUACGGGGAAAGAUUUAUCGCCGAAAGAUCGGCCCGCGUCUGAUUAGCUAGUUGGUGAGGUAACGGCUCACCAAGGCGACGAUCAGUAGCUGGUCUGAGAGGAUGAUCAGCCACAUUGGGACUGAGACACGGCCCAAACUCCUACGGGAGGCAGCAGUGGGGAAUAUUGGACAAUGGGGGCAACCCUGAUCCAGCCAUGCCGCGUGAGUGAUGAAGGCCCUAGGGUUGUAAAGCUCUUUUGUGCGGGAAGAUAAUGACAGUACCGCAAGAAUAAGCCCCGGCUAACUUCGUG